rnacentral:rRNA from 1 species
AGUGAACGCUGGCGGUAGGCCUAACACAUGCAAGUCGAACGGCAGCACAGUAAGAGCUUGCUCUUACGGGUGGCGAGUGGCGGACGGGUGAGGAAUACAUCGGAAUCUACUUUUUCGUGGGGGAUAACGUAGGGAAACUUACGCUAAUACCGCAUACGACCUACGGGUGAAAGCAGGGGAUCUUCGGACCUUGCGCGAUUGAAUGAGCCGAUGUCGGAUUAGCUAGUUGGCGGGGUAAAGGCCCACCAAGGCGACGAUCCGUAGCUGGUCUGAGAGGAUGAUCAGCCACACUGGAACUGAGACACGGUCCAGACUCCUACGGGAGGCAGCAGUGGGAAAUAUUGGACAAUGGGCGCAAGCCUGAUCCAGCCAUACCGCGUGGGUGAAGAAGGCCUUCGGUUUUUAAAGCCCUUUUGUUGGGAAAGAAAAGCAGCAGGUUAAUACCCCGCUGUUCUGACGGUACCCAAAGAAGAAGCACCGGCUAACUUCGUG